GCCUGACUGGCUUAGUCGGUAGAGCAUGUGACUCUUGAUCUCAUUGUUGUGAGUUUGAGCCUCAUGUUGAGUG
rnacentral:tRNA from 1 species